UCCUUGGUGGCUCAGAGGUUAAAGCGUCUGCCUGCAAUUCUGGAGACCCAGGUUCAAUCCCUGGGUUGGGAA
rnacentral:tRNA from 1 species